AACGAACGCUGGCGGCAUGCCUAACACAUGCAAGUCGAACGAGACCUUCGGGUCUAGUGGCGCACGUGUGCGUAACACGUGGGAACCUGCCCUUAGGUUCGGAAUAACUCCCCGAAAGGGGUGCUAAUACCGGAUAAUGUCUUCGGACCAAAGAUUUAUCGCCUUUGGAUGGGCCCGCGUUGGAUUAGCUAGUUGGUAGGGUAAAAGCCUACCAAGGCGACGAUCCAUAGCUGGUCUGAGAGGAUGACCAGCCCCACUGGGACUGAGACACGGCCCAGACUCCGACGGGAGGCAGCAGUGGGGAAUAUUGGACGAGGGGCGAAAGCCUGAUCCAGCAGUGCCGGGUGAGUGAUGAAGGCCGUAGGGUUGUAAAGCUCUUUUACCCGGGAUGAUAAUGACAGUACCGGGAGAAGAAGCUCCGGCUAACUCCGUG
rnacentral:rRNA from 1 species